rnacentral:lncRNA from 1 species
GGAGAACCUGCUUAAAUCACCCCGACCCAAAGGGACUGCCGCUGUCCCCAGGGAGGAAGAAAGGCAAAGAAGGAACUGCCUCAUAUCCCUGUGAGAAGAGUAAAUCCAUCACAACAAAGGGUCACGGCCACCACUUUCACUUCUUGAAGCGGAAUUUCGCUGCCUAGCCCCUGCAAACCGAGCUUUCAUCAUCAAUUCUUCGCUGCUCUGCUGCCGCCGAGGGCAGGAGCUCUUGGGUGCAUCACCUCUCUGUCCGCAGCAGCCCAGCAGAAGGGGGAUUCAGAAUUUCCUGAGGCAGUACCAGCCUGAUAAUUCAGGCAGAGAUAAAAAUCCAGACUCCUGGAUCAAGGUUUCUCCAGGAACUUGGGCCCUGCGAGAUGGCAGCAGCUGGGGCUGUGUGAUCGUGUCUCAUUUUCCGAGGUGCAGAACGGGAGUGCCCCCAGGUUCAGAGGUGUCCCAGGGCACAGAGGGG